UUUCCACACAAAAUUGUUAGCAAUAAAUCAAAGCUGUCAAGUUGUAGCCGCCGCUUGACAUCAGCUGUCCGGAGGUUAACAGAAAGUUUAUUGGUUCCUAAUGUUUAAGCAUGUAUAAACCUAAUCUAAAACCAUGACAGUUGAAUCAGAUAGCAAUCCGUUCCCAGGUUCCCAGGUUUUCGGUAUUUAUGUGUUUUCUAUAGUUUUGUGCGUCUGGAAAUAACUUUCUCAGUGGCUCCUAAUUUUACCAUAUUUAGGCAGAGUAACUAAAAUCCACUCCCACAUAUGUCUUUGUGCUAUAUAACUUUCUGUUUCAUAAUUCUAGCAGCUGUAUCAUUUGGGGGCAAAGGUAGCUUAAGUUUCUCUUUAUAGUUGCACAGUUACAUCAUCUGUAAAAAGUAGUAUAAAUAUAGAACUGAAAACAAAAUGUUGGUCUGUAGUCCAUUAAAGAAGGGCUGUUUCAGUGACAUAAAUCUGUCACACAGAUAAAAACUGUAGAUUGAGGUAGGUAUGUGUUAAGAUAAGAUUAGUAAAUUAAGAUACAUUGCUAGCAAUUGGUUUAUACCUUAAUAUCAAUUCAUCACAAUAGGCUACUGUUUCCAAUUUUGUUCUGCUUCCAUAUUAGAUCUAUCUUUUUAUGUUAUUUACCCAGGAUAACAGAGCUGAGAAGCAACAUCAGUUCUCCAAUGGGGAAGGCAUUGAUACCCAAGGAAGCACUCUUCACCAUCUGUUGAAGCCUGUCUCGUGCAGUUUAAUGUCCCGAAAUUAAUUCAGUUUAAUGAUGAGAGGACUGAAGCACAGUUCUUAUCGAAGAUGGAAAGGGUCAGGAGCAGCAUGUAGUGUUUCUUUGCACUCUUUCUGCCAUGUAGGUUCAACCUUCAGAUACCUUAUUACUCUCAAAUUCAAAGGGUUCAAGGGAUCAUAACCAAGGCUUUAGAAUAAGAGCUACUUGGACAAGCAAUGGACUGGCUACAGCAGUGCAAAUCACAGAAACCUUCAACCCUGAACACCACCAGCUUCCACUUGAACUCUGUGUCAGGAGCUGCAUGGGCCUGCCAGCCAAUAAGGACAAUCCCCAAUUAUUUGUCACUGUACAAGUCUCUUAGGCUACCAUUGCCCAGCAGUCCAGGACUGUUGCUUUCCUAUUAAUUGAAGAUCACUUGGUAACACACACUUCCAGAUGGUGGUCUUCAUGCUUAACAGCAUUGAAGGCAGUUUCUAGAAGAUAUACUGAGCAUCAAAAGAAACGUAUCACUUAUAUUUGAGCACCCAAGACGGCGAGCCACAGUACGCUGCCCUAGUCCAGCCUCCGACAUGCCGAUUGCACGAAGGUGCUGCUCUCUUGACAGAUGUGGCAUAUUGGUUUUUUUCUGUGAUUUUCUUUAUUGCUUUUAUUCAAGCUUGCAAUUCAACAGCUGAAAUCACUCCAUAUCCAGUGUCCAAUCAACUGUCUCAUUAAUUAGGUGAUUAAGUGCAUAUGCGUCAGUACUAGUCACUCAAGGCGUGUCAUGGUCAAGAAUGAAUGAUCGAGUGAUUAAAAAGAAACCAAAAA